rnacentral:rRNA from 1 species
AUUGAACGCUGGCGGCAUGCCUUACACAUGCAAGUCGAACGGCAGCACGGGAGCAAUCCUGGUGGCGAGUGGCGAACGGGUGAGUAAUAUAUCGGAACGUGCCCAGUAGUGGGGGAUAACUGCUCGAAAGAGCAGCUAAUACCGCAUACGACCUGAGGGUGAAAGGGGGGGGAUCGCAAGACCUCUCGCUAUUGGAGCGGCCGAUAUCAGAUUAGCUAGUUGGUGGGGUAAAGGCCUACCAAGGCAACGAUCUGUAGUUGGUCUGAGAGGACGACCAGCCACACUGGGACUGGAACACGGCCCAGACUCCUACGGGAGGCAGCAGUGGGGAAUUUUGGACAAUGGGCGAAAGCCUGAUCCAGCAAUGCCGCGUGCAGGAAGAAGGCCUUCGGGUUGUAAACUGCUUUUGUCAGGGAAGAAAUCCUCUAGGUUAAUACCCUUGGGGGGAUGACGGUACCUGAAGAAUAAGCACCGGCUAACUACGUGCCAGCAGCCGCCGUAACAC